rnacentral:rRNA from 1 species
UACGGAGGGUGCAAGCGUUAUCCGGAUUCACUGGGUUUAAAGGGUGCGUAGGCGGGCAGGUAAGUCAGUGGUGAAAUCUCCGAGCUUAACUCGGAAACUGCCAUUGAUACUAUUUGUCUUGAAUAUCGUGGAGGUGAGCGGAAUAUGUCAUGUAGCGGUGAAAUGCUUAGAUAUGACAUAGAACACCAAUUGCGAAGGCAGCUCGCUACACGAAUAUUGACUCUGAGGCACGAAAGCGUGGGGAUCAAACAGG